CUACCCUUGACAUGUAUGGAACCCCGCUGAGAGGUGGGGGUGCCCGAAAGGGAGCCAUAACACAGGUGCUGCAUGGCUGUCGUCAGCUCGUGUCGUGAGAUGUUGGGUUAAGUCCCGCAACGAGCGCAACCCUUGUCCCUAGUUGCUACGCAAGAGCACUCUAGGGAGACUGCCGGUGACAAACCGGAGGAAGGUGGGGAUGACGUCAAGUCCUCAUGGCCCUUAUGGGUAGGGCUUCACACGUCAUACAAUGGUCGGAACAGAGGGUCGCCAACCCGCGAGGGGGAGCCAAUCCCAGAAAACCGAUCGUAGUCCGGAUCGCACUCUGCAACUCGAGUGCGUGAAGCUGGAAUCGCUAGUAAUCGCGGAUCAGCAUGCCGCGGUGAAUACGUUCCC
rnacentral:rRNA from 1 species